rnacentral:rRNA from 1 species
AACAAGGAUUAGAUAACCUGGGUAGUCCACGCCCGUAAACCGAUGAUGACUAGCUGUUCGGGGCGCUUGGCGUUUCGGUGGCGCAGCUAACGCGUUAAGUCAUCCGCCUGGGGAGUACGGCCGCAAGGUUAAAAACUCAAAGAAAUUGACGGGGGCCUGCACAAGCGGUGGAGCAUGUGGUUUAAUCCGAAGCAACGCGCAGAACCUUACCAGCGUUUGACAUGGUAGGACGGUUUCCAGAGAUGGAUUCCUUCCCUUACGGGACCUACACACAGGUGCUGCAUGGCUGUCGUCAGCUCGUGUCGUGAGAUGUUGGGUUAAGUCCCGCAACGAGCGCAACCCUCGUCUCUAGUUGCCACCAUUUAGUUGGGCACUCUAGAGAAACUGCCGGUGAUAAGCCGGAGGAAGGUGGGGAUGACGUCAAGUCCUCAUGGCCCUUACGCGCUGGGCUACACACGUGCUACAAUGGCGGUGACAGAGGGCUGCAAACCCGCGAGGGUGAGCUAAUCUCCAAAAGCCGUCUCAGUUCGGAUUGUUCUCUGCAGCUCGAGAGCAUGAAGGCGGAAUCGCUAGUAAUCGCGGAUCAGCAUGCCGCGGUGAAUACGUUCCCAGGCCUUGUACACACCGCCCGUCACACCAUGGGAGUUGGUUUCACCCGAAGGCGCUACGCUAACCCGCAAGGGAGGCAGGCGACCACGGUGGGAUCAGCGACUGGGGUGAAGUCGUAACAAGGUAACC